rnacentral:rRNA from 1 species
CGGAACGGGUGAGUAACGCGUGAGGAACCUGCCUCAAAGAGGGGGACAACAGUUGGAAACGACUGCUAAUACCGCAUAAGCCCACGGCUCGGCAUCGAGCAGAGGGAAAAGGAGCAAUCCGCUUUGAGAUGGCCUCGCGUCCGAUUAGCUAGUUGGUGAGGUAACGGCCCACCAAGGCGACGAUCGGUAGCCGGACUGGGAGGUUGAACGGCCACAUUGGGGCUGAGACACGGCCCAG